GGCCAUCGGCGUGGCUCAUCCGAGCGGGCGUGGCCGUCCUCGCCUGCGUUCCGAACAGUUUAGAACCUAAAAGUGCAGAGAUGCUCUUCUAGUUGCUCCCAGUGGCGACAAGCUUUACCCAAGGGGAGGAGCCGUCCACUGGGGAGGCGGCAUGGUCCCCAGGGCUGACCAGAAGGAGCUGCACAAUCUCCUAUGCCACAGAUACGCAAGGAGACCGGUGCUCCUUCCUCGAGUCCAGCUGGGGGAAAUUUCCAGAUUGUGUGGUGCUCUGCAGCAACAGUCCACCCAGAGACUCCUGCCAAGGUGCCAUGCUGUCUGCUAUUCCUAAGGUCUCAGAAGCUGGCUAAACUUCACACACCCGGCUGGUUCUUCCUCAGUUUUGCAGUGUAGCAGAGUCUCUAGAAGGUCCUUUCAAAGAUAACAAACCAUAUUGACUGCUAGAGUUGAAUUUCAGCUGAAAGAAACAUUGCUAUCCAGGAAUCCUUCAUUGGUUCUGAAGAGAUCAAUAAACUCUAGUGUUGUUACUACUAAUAAAAUUAU
rnacentral:lncRNA from 1 species